rnacentral:rRNA from 1 species
CCUACGGGUGGCAGCAGUGAGGAAUAUUGGUCAAUGGUCGGAAGUCUGAACCAGCCACGCCGCGUGCAGGACGACGGCUCUAUGAGUUGUAAACUGCUUUUGUACAAGGGUAAAUCUGAAUACGUGUAUUCAGCUGAAAGUACUGUACGAAUAAGGAUCGGCUAACUCCGUACCAGCAGCCGCGGUAAUACGGAGGAUCCAAGCGUUAUCCGGAUUUAUUGGGUGUAAAGGGUGCGUAGGCGGAUUGGUAAGUUAGAGGUGAAAUGUCAGAGCUUAACUCUAGAACUGCCUCUAAUACUGUUGUUCUAGAGAGUGGGUGAGGUAGGCGGAAUGUAUGGUGUAGCGGUGAAAUGCUUAGAGAUCAGAAAGAACACCGAUUGCGAAGGCAGCUUACCAGUCUAUAUCUGACGUUGAGGCACGAAAGCGUGGGGAGCAAACAGGAUUAGAUACCCGAGUAGUC